AAGCUGAAAAUAUUUUCUUUUUUCUUGAUUUUAGUCUGCAUCAUAUUGAACAAACAGAAGCCUGGAGUAACCCGAUUUGAAUUUUAAACUGUAUCACAGCCUCACUUGACACAGAUUUCUGAUUGGUUGAUCACGGUGGGAGGGAAAACUCAGUGGUUGACGUCACCAACGGGCCGGAAUCUGCAAGCGGGAGAAGUGCAGAGAACGAGAGACUUUUGACGAGAGCUUGUCGUAUUUUUUCUGCGUUUUUAAAAUCCGUGGGAUGAAUCUCCAACAUUUUUUUUUGCUUGUCUGGAAAGGAUUCAAGUAAAAUCUUUGAAGUUUGCACGGUGAUCUAAAUUCUUUACUCGUGAAUCAAAACCCAUGUUCCUCCACACUGCCAUUAUGGAGGUCCUACCAGAGCCACAGAAGACAUCCUGGAAGAACACUUGCAGUCCAUUGGAAUAAAUGGAGUUGUAUGAGGAUCUACGAUUCAUAGAAGAGGCUGACUUGCUGCCAGCUUUGAGACCUGUUCAAGCCCGGAAACGUCUUGCUUUCUGGAAAUUGAAAUACCAAACGCCAGAGAACAGCACAUCGUCAUCUGCUAAGAUGACUCCAACUGUUAUUUAUGUGGACAGUCUUUCUUUUCCCCAAGGAGGUUCAUGUUGAGUUGGAACCGCUCCAUCGUACACAACAACAUUGCAGCACUGUGCCUGAUGUUCAGAAGCUACUUCUGCUUUAACAGUCAUUAUCCAACUGAGCUGGCUUCAACCCUGGAGUUUCUGCAAAGCUGAUGUCCUGUGAUGUGCCACUCUACCUGGUUGGGAACAAAUUGAAGAGGCCAAGCUCAAGAAAGCCUUUGUCAGCAAAUGUAGGGCAGAGCAGGUUCUAAGGCCACUGCUAUGAUCUACAGUAUGCAGACUGGUUUCUCUUCCAUCCUUUUUAUUAUUUUUUAUUCUUAUUUUUUAUCUUAAUUUGGUUCUCAAAUUGGUUCAUGGAUUUGAUAGUCUGGAAGUUUCAGAGAAUGUUUUUAUCAGGUACUUUUUUACGUGGUUACAUAAUCUUGUUUUUUUCCUUGUACCUCAGCAGUGAUGUCAGUGUGUUUGUUGUUUAAAAUCUGGAAGUAUUCAUGACCAGCAUGUCAACCAGAUUGAGUACGCCACGGUUCAUGUACUAUAUUUUUUAAAAAGUGUCUAAUUCUGCUACCACAAUUCAAAUGCUGUACUGAUGAUGGUGCUGCCCAAAUAAAGUGUAAAGCAUUUACA